GUAUUUUCCGAUAUUACAUAUACGAGAAUUGGAAAGAUAUAGAGAAAAUUAGCACGGCUUAUACAAGACGAUGUCUCGUAAAUUUAUAAGAUGUUCCAUAUGUUU
rfam:Octopus bimaculoides Scaffold124869_contig_131, whole genome shotgun sequence.